rnacentral:rRNA from 1 species
AACAGCUAUUAUAUACUUGAUCUUGAUUUCCUACGUGGAUAACUGUGGUAAUUCUAGAGCUAAUACAUGCACCAAAGCUCCGACUUUUUGACGAGCGCAUCUAUUAGAUUAAAACCAAUCGGGUCUUGACCCGUCAAUUGGUGACUCUGAAUAACUAUGGCUGAUCGCAUGGUCUUGUACCGGCGACGUGUCUAUCAAGUGUCUGCCUUAUCAACUGUCGAUGGUAGUUUAUGUGCCUACCAUGGUUGUAACGGGUAACGGAGAAUAAGGGUUCGACUCCGGAGAGGGAGCCUGAGAAACGGCUACCACAUCCAAGGAAGGCAGCAGGCGCGCAAAUUACCCACUCUCGGCAUGAGGAGGUAGUGACGAAAAAUAACGAGACCGUUCUCUAUGAGGCCGGUUAUCGGAAUGGGUACAAUUUAAAUCCGUUAACGAGGAUCUAUGAGAGGGCAAGUCUGGUGCCAGCAGCCGCGGUAAUUCCAGCUCUCAAAGUGUAUAUCGUCAUUGCUGCGGUUAAAAAGCUCGUAGUUGGAUCUGCGCCUCAGGACUUGGUCCGCCCACUGGGCGAGAACUGGGCUCCUGGGCUAGUACUGUUGGUUUUCCCUACGUUGCCUUCACCGGUCGCGUAGGGUGGCUAGCGAGUUUACUUUGAAAAAAUUAGAGUGCUUCACGCGGGCUUUUGUCUGAAUACUCGUGCAUGGAAUAAUGGAAUAGGAUCUCGGUUCUAUUUUGUUGGUUUUCUGAUCUGAGAUAAUGGUUAAGAGGGACGGACGGGGGCAUUCGUAUCGCUGCGUGAGAGGUGAAAUUCUUGGACCGUAGCGAGACGACCGACUGCGAAAGCAUUUGCCAAGAAUGUCUUCAUUAAUCAAGAACGAAAGUCAGAGGUUCGAA